ensembl:snoRNA
AGCACUUUGUAUGUUUAUUCAACUGGUGGACAAAGGCAUGAAAGACAAAUGCAAAAUUAGAUCCUCUUUUACAAUCCAGAACUCAUUGUUCAGUACGAGUUUUAACACACACAAGAAGAACUAUG